rnacentral:sRNA from 1 species
UCACAAUUCUUUACAGAAGAUUACUCCUUCGCAGAAGACUCUGACACUUUCAGAAUCAUUAGCCGUUAUGAGUCUCUUCGACUACCACCGUCUCGAUCAACAACUUCUUCACACCAUCGCUUAUGACGCUCUCGUUUGGAGCUCUCUCCAUGGCCUUGUCGUCGGUGAUAAGUCUGUUCAGAGAUCAGGGAGCGUUCCCGGCGUAGGAUUGGUGCAUGCUCCGAUUGCAUUGUUACCGACGCCGUUUCCCCAAAACAAGUGGAGACAAGCCUCCGAAUUGGCUCCGAUAUUCAAUGAACUCGUUGAUCGUGUUAGCUUGGAUGCAUCCUUUCUCCAACACUCUCUCUCCAGAACUAAAGAAGCCGAUGAAUUCACCUCUAAACUUUUGGACAUUCAUGCCAACAUGCUACAUAUGAACAAAAAAGAGGAAAUACGAUUGGG